rnacentral:lncRNA from 1 species
CAACAUUUGCAGUGGUAAUCUCGAAGUUGAUUCCAUAGCAGAACUUGGCUACCAGCUCGAAUACUUCUGCACCACCUGGUAUUUCCAGUAACUUGAUUUGUGAUGGAUCUAAGUCUCUUGUCUCCACAACCAGCUUCCGUAUUCUUCCACUCCGUGACACAAGUGGGAACUGUUAGCACAUUAAACAGGCAAGUUUGAGAAAACUUCAAUAGUUCUUUGGGAGUUCUGUGAUUGCUAAUGGUGCUGGAAUGUAAAGGAGAUGAUGUAUGAAUUCACCCACCUUGUGGAGUGCAAAGCUCGUACCUGCAACUUCCACGGAUAUAUC